rnacentral:lncRNA from 1 species
UAAUCUGUCAUAUAUUCUUAGAAAUAGUCAUCAUUAUCUUUUAAGAGUGUCUGAUUUACAGAAAUGAUUAAAAGUCUCUUUAAAGUUAAGAUUGAUGACUAUGUAAGUUAGUUGACACAUUAAAUCUCACUGUCCCACCCUGUGCCAGGCCUUAAUCCUCAACUUUGUUCUAGGUUUCUCACUUCCUUUUCAGAACUUGAUGACUGAAUAAAUCCAGCUUCACAUGCAUGGGCUUGCAUAUCCAUGUCUACUGAUCUGAGAAGAGUACUCUUGUAAAGGAAAGUCCCUUCAUUUCCUUAUAGUUCUUUCGAAGAUCACUUUUCUCUCAUCUCCCUUCCCUCAGAUCUUCACAAUAGUGAUCUGAACGUCACAAUUUUGACUCUCUUCUUGGUACUAUCCUAAAGGAAGCUAUCUAGUGAGAGAGGAUGAAAAUUUUCAAUACAGUCUUUAAAACAUCUUUUGAUAUUUUUCAUCAUAUGGGUUGCAAGAGUAUACUGUGUAAACAUAGAAGCUAUGCUUACAUAGCUAUGAAAAACAGAACUAAGAACGUAGCUGAAGAUAUUCCAAGUAAUUGUCUCCAUCACGAUGUUAAACUCAGAAUGUUUUUAUAAAACAUGUAGGAAACAAGAAAAUCGAUAUGCAGAUGAACUGAGAAAGAAAAUAAAUAAGAAUAUUUUAUUAAAUUAAUGCAUGUGUAAACAAUGACAAAUGCAGAAUUAGAUAUCAUCUCUGCCUAUAUCAUUUACAAUGAAACACAAGACAAAGGAAUAAAGUGCCUUAGAAAUCCAACACCACAAAAAGGCAUUAAGAUUUAGGAAUGAACAGAUUUCACCACUUGCUGAACCAAAUUCUUGCUUGUACUUCACACAAAACAAAGGAUACUGUCACUCAAACAAGGGAUAUUGUGCAAAUGAACAUGUACAAAAAGAUAAGAGGAAAAUUUCUGUUGGAAAUUCUGUUUCUUCAGCCUUCAGUUCAGUUCAGUUCAGUCGCUCAGUCGUGUCUGACUCUUUGCGACCCCAUGAAUCACAGCACGCCAGGCCUCCCUGUCCAUCACCAACUCCCGGAGUUCACUCAGACUCACGUCCAUCGAGUCAGUGUGGCAAAGCAAAGAAUAUUUUCCUUGUCACUGAUCCAGGUGAGUGAGGAGGGAAGAAAUAUUCUGGGAUCUCCUUAG